rnacentral:rRNA from 1 species
UACAGAGGCCACGAGCGUUAGGCGGAAUCACUGGGCUUAAAGCGUGUGUAGGUGGAUCGGUAAGUACCUUGUGAAAUCCCACGACUCAAUCGUGGAACUGCUUUGGUAUACUGCCAGUCUUGAGGUACUCAGGGGGCAAGCGGAACAGAUGGUGGAGCGGUGAAAUGCGUAGAUAUCAUCUGGAACGCCAAUGGUGAAGACAGCUUGCUGGGGGGUAUUCUGACACUGAGACACGAAAGCCAGGGGAGCAAACGGG